UACAGAGGGUGCGAGCGUUAAUCGGAAUUACUGGGCGUAAAGCGCGCGUAGGCGGCUUCGCAAGUCGGGUGUGAAAUCCCCAGGCUUAACCUGGGAACUGCAUUCGAGACUGCAUUGCUAGAGUAUGGGAGAGGGAAGUGGAAUUUCCGGUGUAGCGGUGAAAUGCGUGGAUAUCGGAAGGAACAUCAGUGGCGAAAGCGACUUCCUGGACCAAUACUGACGCUCAUGUGCGAAAGCGUGGGGAGCAAACAGG
rnacentral:rRNA from 1 species